rnacentral:rRNA from 1 species
AGCGAACGCUGGCGGCAGGCCUAACACAUGCCAGUCGAACGAACCUUUCGGGGUUAGUGGCGGACGGGUUAGUAACACGUGGGAACGUGCCUUUAGGUUCGGAAUAACUCAGGGAAACUUGUGCUAAUACCGAAUGUGCCCUUCGGGGGAAAGAUUUAUCGCCUUUAGAGCGGCCCGCGUCUGAUUAGCUAGUUGGUUGAGGUAAUGGCUCACCAAGGCGACGAUCAGUAGCUGGUCUGAGAGGAUGAUCAGCCACAUUGGGACUGAGACACGGCCCAAACUCCUACGGGAGGCAGCAGUGGGGAAUCUUGCGCAAUGGGCGAAAGCCUGACGCAGCCAUGCCGCGUGAAUGAUGAAGGUCUUAGGAUUGUAAAAUUCUUUCACCGGGGACGAUAAUGACGGUACCCGGAGAAGAAGCCCCGGCUAACUUCGUG